GAUGAACGCUAGCGGCAGGCUUAAUACAUGCAAGUCGAGGGGCAGCAUGAUUGUAGCAAUACAAUUGAUGGCGACCGGCAAACGGGUGCGGAACACGUACACAACCUCCCAAUAAGUGGGGAAUAGCCCAGAGAAAUUUGGAUUAAUACACCGUAACAUAACGAUGUGGCAUCACAUUGUUAUUAUAGAUUUUUAGCUUAUUGAUGGGUGUGCGGCUGAUUAGAUAGUUGGCGGGGUAACGGCCCACCAAGUCUACCAUCAGUAGAUGAUUUGAGAGCAUGAUCAGCAACAGGGUCACUGAGCCACGGGCCCGACUCCUGAGGGAGGCAGCAGUAAGGAAUAUUGGACUAUGGACGAAAGUCUGAUCCAGCCAUGCCGCGUGAAGGAUUAAGGUCGUCGUGAUUGUAAACUUCUUUUAUAAGGGACGAAAAAAGGCUUUUCUAAGUCGUCUGACGGUACCUUAUGAAUAAGCACCGGCUAACUCCGUGCCAGCCGCCGCAGUAAAAC
rnacentral:rRNA from 1 species